rnacentral:lncRNA from 1 species
GCAUUACAUGUAGGGCAGACUAUAUCGCCUCGACUAUCACACUCUGCCAGUUUUUAUGGAUAUAACAGUUGACACAUUAUGGUAAUAAUGCAGAUGGUGAAAAUUUUGAAUAGAAAUAAUUAAAAAUAGCAUCUAGUUAAAUUGCACAGUCAUCUGGCAUUAACACAUUUUAUAAUUCAAGGGAUGUAAAAGAAUGAUUAUAAAUUAAAUAUUUAAAUUUCAAUCACCGAGAAAAAGUAAUAUGACAGAGACAGAGCUACAAUUAUAUAUUUACAAAGUUAUAGCAGUCAUUUCACUGAAACCAUCAAAGAAGCAAAUUGAAAAAUCUACAAAAGAGUGCAAAACAUCUAGCACAUUACCCAUCUAGGCCUCCCUUUUAAGCUGCUCGGUAUCUAGAUUGUUGCACUGAACGAAAACUGUCAACGUAAUAAGAAAUGAGUUCAUACUUAAUCUUUGUUGGACAACCUAAAAUCUAGGAACAAUUCUACCUCAAGAAGGAAGCUUCCAAAAACAAUUCACCAUGAGGGAUUUUUUAGUAAAAAAUGUUCUCUUCUGAUAAAUUAUAGGAUAUAUUAUCCCACGCCAAAGGUGAAACUAAACUAUGUGCAAGUCAUUACUUGGUCUAUGAGUCAUUAGCAGUUGAAUAUAAAUUAGUCCUAAAAUGAUUUACUCUUAGGGAAAAAAAUCUACAGACAUAAGUAGCAGAUGAUAGGCUCUUACCAGGGCAUUUCUCAACAGCUUCAGAAUGAGGGAUCUUAACCCUUGUUUCUUUUUGUGGCACAAAAAGAAUUGGAAACUCAGACCUCAGAUCCAAUUCCCACACCCCAAAUUCCUGUCCCUUCUCUUUCCCAUCAAAUUUUCCCCCCAAGUAU